AGAGCGAACGCUGGCGGCAGGCUUAACACAUGCAAGUCGAGCGGGCCCUUCGGGGUCAGCGGCAGACGGGUGAGUAACACGUGGGAACGUACCCUUUGGUUCGGAAUAACGCUGGGAAACUAGCGCUAAUACCGGAUACGCCCUUUUGGGGAAAGGCUUGCUGCCGAAGGAUCGGCCCGCGUCUGAUUAGCUAGUUGGUGGGGUAAUGGCCUACCAAGGCGACGAUCAGUAGCUGGUCUGAGAGGAUGAUCAGCCACACUGGGACUGAGACACGGCCCAGACUCCUACGGGAGGCAGCAGUGGGGAAUAUUGGACAAUGGGCGCAAGCCUGAUCCAGCCAUGCCGCGUGAGUGAUGAAGGCCUUAGGGUGUAAAGCUCUUUUGUCCGGGACGAUAAUGACGGUACCGGAAGAAUAAGCCCCGGCUAACUCGUGCCAGCAGCCGC
rnacentral:rRNA from 1 species